CAGAACUGCCUAAAGUGUACAGUCCUCUAAUGUUUCUAAGAUGCCUUACAGGUGAAGGUGACACAACGAUUUGUUUGCCUCUUUCAAAAAUUGAAUUAGCACAUUAAGUCUCAGUGUUUUUAGCCAGACAAAAGAAAUGACUGGCCAUUUAAAGGAAAUGUUGGACAUUUUGGGAAAUGCCCUCUUGCUUUCUUGCAGCCAGUUACAUGAGAAGGCUUGUACCUCUCAUGUUUAGUAUGCCAAGUAUGAAGCUACCUCAAGCAGCAAGCUAACGUAGGUUGCAUUGCCAGGCAAUCAGCAGGCACUCAAGAACUUAUUGGUCCUGGCCAGGAAAUUGUCCAGGACACCCGUUCAAAAAGGUUAACUGUUUUAUACUUAGUGUUUUCUGUACAGGUUAAAGAAACUACAUUAAAGGUGCUUUGUUAACUUUGGACUGAGCCAGACAAACUGUUUCCACUCUUUAUGCUAAGCUACGUUAGCCGGCUGUUGGCUGCAUAUUUACUAGCCUCUACACUAAUGAGAAUGGUACCAAUACUGGUAUCAGUCUAACUCUUGGCAAAUUUAAAUGUAUUUCCCAAAAUGUCCAACUAUUCCUUUAAGCACGAUUUCACCAGGAAUAUGUGAGAAUACAACACUUGUGUUGCAUUACAUCCCUGCUAUGCAUUCAAUCCUUAUCUUUUAUCUCUUCUCCUAUAUUUGAAUAACAGGAAGUUUGGAUGUGGGUCCUCUGAAUAAACUGCGCACAUUCCUCAGUUAUCCGCACUGCAGAGAGUCUUUGGAUUUGGCGACAGGCAAAAUCUACCUUGUCAUGGGCACUUCCAAAGAUAUUCACAGAGAUGAACAAGAGCAAACGUAUCAGUAUGUACUCGGAGAGAGAACCUGGAUUGAGUACUGGCCCACAGAAGCAGAGUGUCAAUCUGACGAACACAGACCGACCUGUUUGGGCAUGGAGGAGAUGGUCCAGCAGUACCAACUCUUCGGAUGUCAGCAGUAGUGAAGCACAAGGAAACAAAACGUUCUUUUCAAAUUGUGUUUGUGUUGCAUUUUUCUUAUUAUGUAAAACUUUCAUUGC